GCGUGCACGCUUCACUAGUCUCUCACACACCUGUGAGCUUUUGUUAGAUCUGUGAGAUCGUCUCUCACAUCGUCAGACUCGGUUUGCUGGGAAUUAAACGUUCUGGUGUGACAUCGCAGUCUAUUUACUUAACACACCCCAAAUGUAUGUCUACGAAUGUCAUUUAAUGGGCCUUGUGCCUAUAAACCAUAAUACAACUUUCAACAACGGAUCUCUUGGCUCUCGCAUCGAUGAAGAACGCAGCGAAAUGCGAUAAGUAAUGUGAAUUGCAGAAUUCAGUGAAUCAUCGAAUCUUUGAACGCACCUUGCGCCCCUUGGUAUUCCGAGGGGCAUGCCUGUUUGAGUGUCAUUAAAUUCUCAAACUCACUUUGGUUUCUUUCCAAUUGUGAUGUUUGGAUUGUUGGGGGCUGCUGGCCUUGACAGGUCGGCUCCUCUUAAAUGCAUUAGCAGGACUUCUCAUUCCUCUGGGCGGAUGUGAUAAUUAUCACUCCCAAAUAACACGCAGGGGAGGAUUCAACAAGCUGAGGGCAUCUCAAUAAGCGGAGGAGCAUCAAUAUCGGUGA
rnacentral:rRNA from 1 species